rnacentral:rRNA from 1 species
UACGAAGGGGGCUAGCGUUGCUCGGAAUUACUGGCGUAAAGCGCACGUAGGCGGCUUCUUAAGUCGGUGGUGAAAUCCUGGAGCUCAACUCCAGAACUGCCUUCGAUACUGGGAGCUCGAGUCCGGGAGAGGUGAGUGGAACUGCGAGUGUAGAGGUGAAAUUCGUAGAUAUUCGCAAGAACACCAGUGGCGAAGGCGGCUCACUGGCCCGGUACUGACGCUGAGGUGCGAAAGCGUGGGGAGCAAACAGG